rnacentral:rRNA from 1 species
AGGAUGAACGCUGGCGGUCUGCUUAACACAUGCAAGUCGAACGGAGUAGAAAUACUUAGUGGCGGACGGGUGAGUAACGCGUGAGAAUCUACCUUCAGGACGGAGACAACAGUUGGAAACGACUGCUAACCCCCGAUGUACUGAAAAGGCAAAUAUUUAUAGCCUGAAGAAGAGCUCGCGUCCGAUUAGCUAGUUGGAGAGGUAAAAGCUCACCAAGGCGACGAUCGGUAGCUGGUCUGAGAGGACGAUCAGCCACACUGGGACUGAGACACGGCCCAGACUCCUACGGGAGGCAGCAGUGGGAAUUUCGCAAUGGGCGAAAGCCUGACGGAGCAAGACCGCGUGGGGGAAGAAGGCUCUUGGGUUGUAAACCCCCUUUUCUCUGGGAAGAACGGCAAUGACGGUACCAGAGGAAUCAGCAUCGGCUAACUCCGUGCCAGCAGCCGC